UGAUACUACCGUGGGCUUCCCGGAGCAGGCGCCUGUCCGCUCUCCUCAGCAGUGCACCUCGGCUGCCAGCAGCCUGCCUGGCCGUGAGGAGAACAGCAGAUGAAUGGGCGAACCAAGGAAACUGCACUCAAAGAAAUGUCUUGUAACGGUUCUAACUUUGGUUUGGCAUGUCACCUCUGUAACGAUAUCAGGGAGAGGAAAUAUUCCGUCAAAGCUGUGAGCAUGGAAGGAAACAGCCUGGAUGGUGUCCAAAGACAUACAGUAUCUUAGCAACUUCUGAAGUUCAGAAAAGCCAACAUUUCAGUCCGGGAAGCCGGCUGGUAGAAGCUCCAACCUCCCCAACCACCAAUCACUGAAAGACACGCCUUAAGGUGGCAGUGGCCAUCAUUUUCGGGACCUGCUCCCCAAGCUGCCAAAAUCGAGGGGCUGGCAGAGGGCAGGCAAGCCUCUCUUGUCAAGAAAACAAAAGGCUGCCAAAAACAUGUGAAACCUGCGAUAACCAAGGGCGAGAGCUGGGACUAGCAAGUGAGAGGUAUGGAGGAAGAGGGACAGACGAGAAAGAUCACAAUGGAAAGAUGGAGAAGGAGUAAAGAAAGCCAGUAUGUCCAGAGGAAAGUGACAGGAGGCGCCCAAACAUUCACCCGGCAUCAACAGCGCAUGGCAAGAAUGGCACGAAGAGCACUGAAGCCAUCCUCUGCUUUGGGUUCUUGAGAUACGAAGCUUCCUACUCAGAUACCCAUAAUGGAAAAAAAAUAAUUACGGAGCCAAUGGAGCCUCUUGGUUCUUAGGAAGGUGAACCCAUGGAUGGUUCAGAGGCUCCAACCCUGGGCUGAGUGCUUCUGCCCAUGCUGAUGGUCAUCCCGCUUUCCUUGUGAUCACAUGUU